UACAGAGGGGGCAAGCGUUGUUCGGAACUACUGGGCGUAAAGGGCGCGUAGGCGGCCUGUUAAGUCGAGCGUGAAAUCCCCGGGCUCAACCCGGGAACUGCGUCCGAUACUGGCAGGCUUGAAUCCGGGAGAGGGAUGCGGAAUUCCAGGUGUAGCGGUGAAAUGCGUAGAUAUCGUGAGGAACACCAGAGGCGAAGGCGGCUACCUGGACAAUUGCUGACGCUCAGGCACGAAAGCGUGGGGAGCAAAAGGG
rnacentral:rRNA from 1 species